CGUAGGGUGCGAGCGUUGUCCGGAAUUAUUGGGCGUAAAGAGCUCGUAGGCGGUGUGUCGCGUCGGCCGUGAAAACCUGCAGCUUAACUGUGGGCUUGCGGUCGAUACGGGCAUCACUGGAGUUCGGCAGGGGAGACUGGAAUUCCUGGUGUAGCGGUGAAAUGCGCAGAUAUCAGGAGGAACACCGGUGGCGAAGGCGGGUCUCUGGGCCGAUACUGACGCUGAGGAGCGAAAGCGUGGGGAGCGAACAGGAUUAGAUACCCUGGUAGUCCACGCCGUAAACGUUGGGCGCUAGGUGUGGGGGCCAUUCCACGGUCUCUGUGCCGUAGCUAACGCAUUAAGCGCCCCGCCUGGGGAGUACGGCCGCAAGGCUA
rnacentral:rRNA from 1 species